GGAGAGAUGCCGGAGCGGUUGAUCGGGCUGGUUUCGAAAACCAGUAAGGGGGAAACUCCUUCCAGGGUUCAAAUCCCUGUCUCUCCGCCA
rnacentral:tRNA from 1 species